rnacentral:rRNA from 1 species
UGGGGGAUAUUGCACAAUGGGCGAAAGCCUGAUGCAGCAACGCCGCGUGGGGGAUGAAGGCUUUCGGGUUGUAAACCUCUUUCGCUAUCGAACAAGGCCCGCUUAGGGUGGGUUGAGGGUAGGUGGAGAAGAAGCGCCGGCUAACUACGUGCCAGCAGCCGCGGUAAUACGUAGGGCGCGAGCGUUGUCCGGAAUUAUUGGGCGUAAAGGGCUUGUAGGCGGCUUGUUGCGCCUGCUGUGAAAACGCGGGGCUUAACUUCGCGCGUGCAGUGGGUACGGGCAGGCUUGAGUGUGGUAGGGGUGACUGGAAUUCCAGGUGUAGCGGUAGAAUGCGCAGAUAUCUGGAGGAACACCGAUGGCGAAGGCAGGUCACUGGGCCAUUACUGACGCUGAGGAGCGAAAGCAUGGGUAGCGAACAGG